UGGGGAAUAUUGCGCAAUGGGCGAAAGCCUGACGCAGCGACGCCGCGUGAGGGAUGAAGGUUUUCGGAUCGUAAACCUCUGUCAGAAGGGAAGAAACCGCACUGUGCUAAUCAGCAGUGCCUUGACGGUACCUUCAAAGGAAGCACCGGCUAACUCCGUGCCAGCAGCCGCGGUAAUACGGAGGGUGCAAGCGUUAAUCGGAAUUACUGGGCGUAAAGCGCACGUAGGCUGCUUUGUAAGUCAGGGGUGAAAUCCCACGGCUCAACCGUGGAACUGCCUUUGAUACUGCUUAGCUUGAAUCCGGGAGAGGGUGGCGGAAUUCCAGGUGUAGGAGUGAAAUCCGUAGAUAUCUGGAGGAACAUCAGUGGCGAAGGCGGCCACCUGAACCGGUAUUGACGCUGAGGUGCGAAAGCGUGGGGAGCAAACAGG
rnacentral:rRNA from 1 species